AUUGAACGCUGGCGGCAGGCUUAACACAUGCAAGUCGAGCGGGGGAAGGUAGCUUGCUACCGGACCUAGCGGCGGACGGGUGAGUAAUGCUUAGGAAUCUGCCUAUUAGUGGGGGACAACAUCUCGAAAGGGAUGCUAAUACCGCAUACGUCCUACGGGAGAAAGCAGGGGAUCUUCGGACCUUGCGCUAAUAGAUGAGCCUAAGUCGGAUUAGCUAGUUGGUGGGGUAAAGGCCUACCAAGGCGACGAUCUGUAGCGGGUCUGAGAGGAUGAUCCGCCACACUGGGACUGAGACACGGCCCAGACUCCUACGGGAGGCAGCAGUGGGGAAUAUUGGACAAUGGGGGGAACCCUGAUCCAGCCAUGCCGCGUGUGUGAAGAAGGCCUUAUGGUUGUAAAGCACUUUAAGCGAGGAGGAGGCUACUUUAGUUAAUACCUAGAGAUAGUGGACGUUACUCGCAGAAUAAGCACCGGCUAACUCUGUGCCAGCAGCCGCGGUAAUACAGAGGGUGCAAGCGUUAAUCGGAUUUACUGGGCGUAAAGCGUGCGUAGGCGGCUUAUUAAGUCGGAUGUGAAAUCCCCAAGCUUAACUUGGGAAUUGCAUUCGAUACUGGUGAGCUAGAGUAUGGGAGAGGAUGGUAGAAUUCCAGGUGUAGCGGUGAAAUGCGUAGAGAUCUGGAGGAAUACCGAUGGCGAAAGCAGCCAUCUGGCCUAAUACUGACGCUGAGGUACGAAAGCAUGGGGAGCAA
rnacentral:rRNA from 1 species